AGCAUAUCAAUAAGCGGAGGAAAAGAAACCAACAGGGAUUGCCUUAGUAGCGGCGAGCGAAGCGGCAACAGCUCAAAUUUGAAAUCUGGCUACUUUGUAGUCCGAGUUGUAAUUUGCAGAGGAUGCUUUUGGUGAGGUGCCUUCCGAGUUCCCUGGAACGGGACGCCAGAGAGGGUGAGAGCCCCGUACGGUUGGACACCAAACCUUUGUAUAGCUCCUUCAACGAGUCGAGUAGUUUGGGAAUGCUGCUCUAAAUGGGAGGUAUAUCUCUUCUAAAGCUAAAUACCGGCUAGAGACCGAUAGCGCACAAGUAGAGUGAUCGAAAGAUGAAAAGCACUUUGAAAAGAGAGUUAAACAGCACGUGAAAUUGUUGAAAGGGAAGCGCCUAUGACCAGACUUGUUUCUGUCAGUUUUGCUUGUUUUCGGACUUGUUUACUCUGUCAGUACAGGCCAACAUCAGUUUGUUGUUUGGGAGAAAGGCUUAGGGAAUGUGGCUCCCUCGGGAGUGUUAUAGCCCUUUGCAUAAUACCAUUCGGCAGACUGAGGACCGCGCUUCGGCAAGGAUGUUGGCGUAAUGGUCAUCAGCGACCCGUCUUGAAACACGGACCAAGGAGUCAACCUUAUGUGCGAGUGUUUGGGUGUAAAACCCCAGCGCGUAAUGAACGUGAACGUAGGUGAGAGCUUCGGCGCAUCAUCGACCGAUUCUGAUGUUCUCGGAUGGAUUUGAGUAAGAGCAUAUAGGGUKGGACCCGAAAGAAGGUGAACUAUGCUUGUAUAGGGUGAAGCCAGAGGAAACUCUGGUGGAGGCUCGCAGCGGUUCUGACGUGCAAAUCGAUCGUCAAAUAUGAGCAUGGGGGCGAAAGACUAAUCGAACCUUCUAGUAGCUGGUUCCAGCC
rnacentral:rRNA from 1 species